rnacentral:rRNA from 1 species
UUGGAGGGCAAGUCUGGUGCCAGCAGCCGCGGUAAUUCCAGCUCCAAUAGCGUAUAUUAAAGUUGUUGCAGUUAAAAAGCUCGUAGUUGAAUUUCGGGAUCAACAUGUCGGUCGUGCCUCCGGUACGUACUGGCAUCGUUGGUUUCUACCUUCUGACAAACCAUGAUGUCAUUAAUUUGGUGUCAUGGGGAAUCAGGACUGUUACUUUGAAAAAAUUAGAGUGUUUAAAGCAGGCACACGCUUGAAUACAUUAGCAUGGAAUAAUGAAAUAGGACGUUUGACCCUAUUUUGUUGGUUUCUAGGAUCGACGUAAUGAUUAAUAGGGAUAGUUGGGGGCAUUAGUAUUCAAUUGUCAGAGGUGAAAUUCUUGGAUUUAUUGAAGACUAACUACUGCGAAAGCAUUUGCCAAGGAUGUUUUCAUUAAUCAAGAACGAAAGUUAGGGGAUCAAAGACGAUCAGAUACCGUCGUAGUCUUAACCAUAAAUUAUGCCGACUAGGGAUCGGAUGAUGUUAAUUUUUUAAUGACUCAUUCGGCGCCUUACGGGAAAC